CUAGUACUCCCUCCGUCCGAAAAUACUUGUCAUUGAAAUGGAUGUAUCUAGAUGUAUUUUAGUUCUAGACACAUCCAUUUUGAUGACAAGUAAUUCCAGACGGAGGGAGUACUUU
rnacentral:pre_miRNA from 1 species